GAGGGUGUUAUAAGAACUGCUAACUCUUUAAUCUGGAACUAACAUACCAGCUCCCUCU
rnacentral:tRNA from 1 species